AGCAUGCCUUGCAAGUGGAGGUGGAGCCAAGUAUGUAGGUACGUAGGUCAAAGGUCUUGGCAUAAGGUCGGGCAGCUGUUAGAGGUUUAGAUGAAGCCUAAGAGAGCUGUCUCCAGGCCAGGGGAGCCAGCUUGGGAGGCCCCAAGCCUGCUGCCUCUUAAAGCGGGUGACUCAGCCUCGCUCUGUCAGUGACACUGGUCACAUGACGGCUGCUGCAGUUCUACGUAUCAGAGCAUUCCAUGUCCACAUUCAAGGUGGGAAGAGUGAAUGAGCUGUACCAGAGAACACUCUGCAUAUCUGUCCUGUUGUAAGAAAGAAAGAUCCUUUCCGGAAGUUCCCAGCAGACUUCCUCUUCCAUCCAGCUGAUUGGAGCAGUGUCACAUGGACACUUGAAGCUGUAGGAGAGACUAAGAAUGACUACCUUACUCCUCUGCACCCCAGUAAUGUGUUCACUCGCUGGUGAAUGGCCUCCCCUUGGGCUGGCAUCUACUUUGAGUGUGACCUCCCUCAUCCAGGCGACCCUCUGUGUCUGGACCAGAGGCUACCAGCCACGCAUGCUUCGGUGCUUCCAGCCCCAUCAUCUUUCAGAAGGGGUUCUCGGCCUGAAAUGUGCCCUCCUGAUCUUCAGGAGAAAUCUCUCCUGAAGCUUUCCCAUCUGUGCUUCUCCGGUUGCGUUGCCUUCUGCACCUUCUACACUGCUGCCUCUCUCCUGUACCGAUCUCCUAGGGCAUGUAUUCAGGGAUUUCUUCAUCAGUAAAGCAUACCCUGAAGUGGCUUCCGAAUUAUGAAGAUGAGAUGCAUCAUCCUCAAAGCAGUGACUCUCAGAACAUGACCACUGGCCCAUUGGAGUCCUCUGAGAACUGAUUGGAGAUGGAGAUUCUCGACCCUCUCACAGCCCUGCAGGACCAGAGACAUGGAAACGCUGAGGGGUGGGGGAGUUCUUCACUGGCUCCCCAGGGGAUUCUGAUGCAGGCUGAAGUGUGAAAACUACUUGUACAGAAUUGUAUUUUUACUGGAAUUUGAAACUCAGUCUGGAAAAGCCAGUGGGCUUAAUGAAACACAACUGCUUCUCGUCUCUCUUUCUGGCCGUGACCUGGAGAGACAGUUCUGCUGGCAGAAUCUGCUGCGCUUCCCUAACAGAGUGGUUUUCUUCUCCCUGGUUGAGUCAUCUCUUCACCCCCAGACUGCCCUUGGUGUGGGAAGAGGACCAUGUCUCACCAGGGGGUUGUUGACAAAUAGCAGUUUCCCUUCUAACCCACAAUUUUCUUGAGUCCGUAUCUCCAUCUGCAUGUGGUGAGAACUCCCAGGGGGCUCAGCCAGGCCAAACCACCACGGUGUCUCCCAGAUGUUUUGUAUGUUCACUUCCAGAUGGCUCAGCCUAAGAAAAUCUGAGGCCACAAGCUUUCCUCCCGCUUGUCUGCCUUCAGCCAUGGUUCAGAAGGCUCCUGUUAACAUACUGUUCCUUGCUCUUCACAUUCCAUCCCACUCGGCAUGACUCAUCAUCUGGCAUGCAUCCCUUUCAGCCAGAGGAUGGACUUUUCA
ensembl:lncRNA